rnacentral:sRNA from 1 species
AUGGGUUGCCUGUGCAAAUUCAUGGGGAACUGGUCUGAAACAUGACGUGGAAAUUCAGGCUGUGACAUCAAAACGUCACCCCCCAGUCGAGUCUAUUCUGUGCUAUUCUGACUCCAGUCAGCCUUAUUGGUUCCAGCCAGUUUCAGCCAGUCAGCCAGUUUUGUUGCAAGCAGAGAGAAUUAUAACAAGUUGUUUCUUCAUCUGGCUUCUUGCAAGAUGAGACCCAUUGGGCAUGAUGGCUACCAUCCCACCUCUGUAGCUGAGUGGCUGGAUUCCAUUGAACUGGGCGACUACACCAAAGCCUUUCUAAUUAAUGGCUACACUUCGAUGGACCUGUUGAAAAAAAUCUGGGAGGUUGAACUUAUUAAUAAAAUCACUCUGGGAGCUAUGUGAAGGAUCGAUUGGAGACUGGGAAACCAGGU